UGCCAGCAGCCGCGGUAAUACGGAGGGGGUUAGCGUUAUUCGGAAUUAUUGGGCGUAAAGGGCGCGCAGGCGGUCUUGUCCGUCAGGUGUGAAAGCUCGGGGCUCAACCCUGGAACUGCCUCCAAAACUAUCAGUCUAGAGUUCGAGAGAGGUGAGUGGAACUCCGAGUGUAGAGGUGAAAUUCGUAGAUAUUCGGAAGAACACCAGUGGCGAAGGCGGCUCACUGGCUCGAUACUGACGCUGAGGUGCGAAAGUGUGGGGAGCAAACAGGAUUAGAUA
rnacentral:rRNA from 1 species